CUGAUAUGUACACAGCAGCAAAUGCAGACAGGGUUGCAUGCUGGGAGGGAAAGGUUUUCCUGUCAAGAAACAGAAAACGUGUUAGCGUUGAGACAAAAUGGUAGAAAAGCAGAAAGACAGACACCGUAUGUCACACAGCUUUGAUCAUAACUUGAAAGGGGAGAGAACAGCGCCAGUGUGGCAUAAGGAAUAAAGAUCACACCUGCACAUUGCUACAAUGCAGCCUACCUAAGACUGAAUAAGAAUGGAUAAUUUACUUGAAAGCAACAUGGAGGAAAGGACAACUUGCUAUGGCUUUCACCUACCCAGUCUGUUUAGAUCAGUGGUCCAGAGAGGAAGAAAACACGAAAAUGUGGCUUUUCAACAGUAUUGGGACACAUCCUCAGCCAGAGAAAAUAAGAUGGCCUGUCCAAGGCUGCAUUCCAAUAUUAUUUCCAAUUUGAAAUAAUUUUCUGUCCUCAUCUCCACUGAACCAAUGCAUCAGUAUUCCUUUAAGGUUCAUGUUUUUCUCUGUAAGUGUAACUGAAUGUACAAGUAGUUGAGCUUUAGUAAACAAUGUCCUUGAAAACCCA